AUGUUCCCCAUGUUCCAGGAGCUUGCACCACAUGACCAACAAGACAAGUGUGGUCACCACUAUGCCAUCUGUCUUGACCUGAAGAACCAACAUUUUGAGGUGCUUGAUUCAAUCCGUUCGGAAGCUGAUGCAGACCUUACUACGCAUGCCGAAUUCUUCAUCAACAACCUCAAAGAGACAUGGAACCGUCACUACAAACAUUCAAAGGUCCAGAUCAGGCAUUUCCCGACUGAGUAUGUGGCGACUGCGAAGCAAGGGAACACGACGGACUGUGGAUUUCACGCGUUGGAAUACUUUGCAAAGUAG
rnacentral:rRNA from 1 species